rnacentral:rRNA from 1 species
GACGAACCACACGAACGUUAUUCGGAAUUACUGGGCUUAAAGGGUGCGUAGGCGGCGCGGUAAGUAGGGUGUGAAAUCCCUCGGCUCAACCGAGGAACUGCGCUCUAAACUACCGUGCUUGAGGGAGAUAGAGGUGAGCGGAACUUAGGGUGGAGCGGUGAAAUGCGUUGAUAUCCUAAGGAACACCGGUGGCGAAGGCGGCUCACUGGCCCGGUACUGACGCUGAGGUGCGAAAGCGUGGGGAGCAAACAGG